GACGAACGCUGGCGGCGUGCUUAACACAUGCGAGUCGAACGGAAAGGCCCUGCUUUUGUGGGGUGCUCGAGUGGCGAACGGGUGAGUAACACGUGAGUAACCUGCCCUUGACUUUGGGAUAACUUCAGGAAACUGGGGCUAAUACCGGAUAGGAGCUCCUGCUGCAUGGUGGGGGUUGGAAAGUUUCGGCGGUUGGGGAUGGACUCGCGGCUUAUCAGCUUGUUGGUGGGGUAGUGGCUUACCAAGGCUUUGACGGGUAGCCGGCCUGAGAGGGUGACCGGCCACAUUGGGACUGAGAUACGGCCCAGACUCCUACGGGAGGCAGCAGUGGGGAAUAUUACACAAUGGGCGGAAGCCUGAUGCAGCAACGCCGCGUGCGGGAUGACGGCCUUCGGGUUGUAAACCGCUUUCGCCUGUGACGAAGCGUGAGUGACGGUAAUGGGUAAAGAAGCACCGGCUAACUACGUG
rnacentral:rRNA from 1 species